AAAGAACCCCGGCGAGGGGAGUGAAAAAGAACCUGAAACCGUGUACGUACAAGCAGUGGGAGCACCUUCGGGUGUGACUGCGUACCUUUUGUAUAAUGGGUCAGCGACUUAUAUUCUGUAGCAAGGUUAACCGUAUAGGGGAGCCGCAGGGAAACCGAGUCUUAACUGGGCGUUAAGUUGCAGGGUAUAGACCCGAAACCCGGUGAUCUAGCCAUGGGCAGGUUGAAGGUUGGGUAACACUAACUGGAGGACCGAACCGACUAAUGUUGAAAAAUUAGCGGAUGACUUGUGGCUGGGGGUGAAAGGCCAAUCAAACCGGGAGAUAGCUGGUUCUCCCCGAAAGCUAUUUAGGUAGCGCCUCGUGAAUUCAUCUUCGGGGGUAGAGCACUGUUUCGGCUAGGGGGUCAUCCCGACUUACCAACCCGAUGCAAACUACGAAUACCGAAGAAUGUUAUCACGGGAGACACACGGCGGGUGCUAACGUCCGUCGUGAAGAGGGAAACAACCCAGACCGCCAGCUAAGGUCCCAAAGUCAUGGUUAAGUGGGAAACGAUGUGGGAAGGCACAGACAGCCAGGAUGUUGGCUUAGAAGCAGCCAUCAUUUAAAGAAAGCGUAAUAGCUCACUGGUCGAGUCGGCCUGCGCGGAAGAUGUAACGGGGCUAAACCAUGCACCGAAGCUGCGGCAGCGACACUAUGUGUUGUUGGGUAGGGGAGCG
rnacentral:rRNA from 1 species